rnacentral:siRNA from 1 species
UAAAUGUUAGUGGCAGCCAUUGU